GAUGAACGCUAGCUACAGGCUUAACACAUGCAAGUCGCGGGACCGGCGCACGUGUGAGUAACGCGUAUCCCACCUGCCCUUCACCACGGGAUAACCCGGCGAAAGUGGGACUAGUACCGUAUGGUGAAGGAUGGGGGUGCGUUCGAUUAGCGUGACGGCGGGGUAACGGCCCACCGUGGCUACGAUCGGUAGGGGUUCUGAGAGGAAGGGCCCCCAGACUGGAACUGAGACACGGUCCAGACUGCGACGGGAGGGAGCAGUGAGGAAUAUUGGUCAAUGGGCGUAAGCCUGAACCGGCCAAGUAGCGUGCAGGACGACGGCCUAUGGGUUGUAAACUGCUGUUAUGCGGGGAUAGGUACCGCAUGAAUAAGGACCGGCUAAUUCCGUGCCAGCAGCCGCGGUAAUUC
rnacentral:rRNA from 1 species